UACGUAGGGGGCAAGCGUUGUCCGGAAUCAUUGGGCGUAAAGAGCGUGUAGGCGGUUCGGUAAGUCGGCUGUGAAAGUCCAGGGCUCAACCCUGGGAUGCCGGUGGAUACUGUCGGGCUCGAGUCCGGAAGAGGAGUGUGGAAUUCCUGGUGUAGCGGUGAAAUGCGCAGAUAUCAGGAGGAACACCAAUGGCGAAGGCAGCACUCUGGGACGUGACUGACGCUGAGACGCGAAAGCGUGGGGAGCAAACAGG
rnacentral:rRNA from 1 species